UUACUUCUUUUUCUUUUUUUUCUGAAAACAGCUAAGCUCAACUAGGUCAAGAUGGUUAAAAAAAAAUCAUGUUUAGCCAGUUAGCAGCAGACUAAAGUCAUUACUUUUAUAGAAAAGGCCAAUUCAGCUUAGCUGUGCAGCGUGGUUCUAUAUUUACCACUAAAUGCCCACAAGAGAAAGCAGGAAAGAUCCAAAAUUGACACCCUAACAUCACAAUUAAAAGAACUAGACAAGCAAGAGCAAACACAUUCAAAAG
rnacentral:lncRNA from 1 species